rnacentral:rRNA from 1 species
CCUACGGGUGGCAGCAGUGGGGAAUAUUGGACAAUGGGGGCAACCCUGAUCCAGCCAUGCCGCGUGUGUGAAGAAGGCCCUCGGGUUGUAAAGCACUUUCAGUGAGGAAGAACGCCUGGUGGUUAAUACCCAUCAGGAAAGACAUCACUCACAGAAGAAGCACCGGCUAACUCCGUGCCAGCAGCCGCGGUAAUACGGAGGGUGCGAGCGUUAAUCGGAAUUACUGGGCGUAAAGCGCGCGUAGGUGGCUUGAUAAGCCGGUUGUGAAAGCCCCGGGCUCAACCUGGGAACGGCAUCCGGAACUGUCAAGCUAGAGUGCAGGAGAGGAAGGUAGAAGUCCCGGUGUAGCGGUGAAAUGCGUAGAGAUCGGGAGGAAUACCAGUGGCGAAGGCGGCCUUCUGGACUGACACUGACACUGAGGUGCGAAAGCGUGGGUAGCAAACAGGAUUAGAUACCCUAGUAGUC